CUCCGAGCAGCGAUCUCUGGCCCUAGCCUAAGCUACCAGAGCGGAGCCGAGACUGUACCGGGAGGACAGCAGUCGGGCAGCCUCUUUUCCUGCAUUGCAUUGCAAAGGGGGUGGGGGAGAAUUGCAACAGAAGAGCCCGUUUUCCAGCGUUGCAAAGGGGGAGGGAUGCCGCGGGGGGGCGUUUUCCUGCAUUGCUCGCGCGUGGUGUGCUUGAGAGAGACCGCGAGAAAGACAAGGGGACUGGCCGCCCGUUUUCCUGCAUUGCAACGGGGGGAGGGAUUGCAGCCGGGGAGCCGGUUUUCCUGCAUUGCACAGGGGUUUUGGAAUCCGGACUCUUGGAGUGAGAUUCUGUGCUGGGCCUCCAAGGAGAUGUAGCACUGACAGCCCCAGCCAGGGGGAGGUGGGGGCAAAGGUGAGCUUAAGAUACUUGAACGCAUCCUUCCAUCAGGUGUAGCAGGUGCUCCGCGCCUGAGAAUCUGGCCCAUACAAUGUCACCAUUAUCCAUCUGCGAUACAGUGUCACCAUUACACAGUGAAUCUAUUAGCAGAAUUGUAGAACAUGUAUUUCCAAAGUUAUAGAGGUCUAGAGUAACAACUACCGUUAAAAAUCGUGGCCAGGUCCUCAACUGAUGUAAAUUAAUAUAGUCCCAUUUAAGUCAAGUGAGCUACACUGUUUUACACCCCGGAGGCUUGGUUCCACAUUUAAAGAAAAAAGCAAUUUCUUUUACUAAUAAUACUUCAGAUAAACAUAGCUGGAAGAAUUGGGCAAGCUCACUUCCUUUUCAUCAUGGGUGCUGUUUCCUUACAUUAUACUGUAUUAUUCUCCCUUUAGAGAAUGAUGCUGCGUAGGUCACUUUCACUUUUGUUUCUAGUGAGUUUCAUUUUCUGGUUCUGAUGCACUAGCACUUCGUUUUUGUGUUUGAAUUCACAGCACAGCUGGGAUAUGUUCACGUUCCCCUCUGUCCUCCCCCAACCUUGCCCCUCCCAUCAUCUUUCCCCCUACCCCAAAAAUUCAUUGAAUUUAAAAAAAAAUGAAAUUUCCAUCUAUUAGAUUUUAAAGUCUGAAUUUUGUUUAGCAAACUAAAUCUGAGGAAUUAACUAAUUUUUAAUGCCCCUUUAAAUAAUCAAGAGACUCAUGCUUUCAUCCUAUCAGCUGGAAGGCUAGGGGUGCAAGAUUUUCAGAAGCGUCUGAUGAUUUUGGGUAUUUCCUUUUUUGAGUGCCCAAACUGAGUUGCUUUAAAGGGGCCUGAUGUUCAGAAAGUGCUCAGCACCCUCCAAAAAUAUGGCCCCUUUAAGAUGUCUCGGUUGAGCACCCAAAAAUGGAGACACUCAAAAUCACCGGCCUCUUGAAAUCUUGACCAUGUGUUAGUACAGGC
rnacentral:lncRNA from 1 species